rnacentral:rRNA from 1 species
AGAGUUUGAUCCUGGCUCAGGAUGCCUGCUAGCGACAGGCUUAACACAUGCAAGUCGAGGGGCAGCGGUGGUGAAGGCUUGCCUUUACCAGCCGGCGACCGGCGCACGGGUGAGUAACACGUAUGCAACCUGCCUGCCACGGCCGGAUAAUCGGGAGAAAUCCCGUCUAAUACGGCAUAAUGCAUCGACGGGACAUCCUGUUGGUGCCAAAGGUUGAUUCCGGUGGCGGAUGGGCAUGCGUCGCAUUAGUUAGUUGGCGGUGUAACGGACCACCAAGACGACGAUGCGUAGGGGUUCUGAGAGGAAGGUCCCCCACACUGGUACUGAGACACGGACCAGACUCCUACGGGAGGCAGCAGUGAGGAAUAUUGGUCAAUGGGCGGGAGCCUGAACCAGCCAAGUCGCGUGAGGGAUGACGGCCCUAUGGGUUGUAAACCUCUUUUGCCGGGGAGCAAAGUGCCGCACGUGUGCGGUUUGGAGAGUACCCGGAGAAAAAGCAUCGGCUAACUCCGUGCCAGCAGCCGCGGUAAUACGGAGGAUGCGAGCGUUAUCCGGAUUUAUUGGGUUUAAAGGGUGCGUAGGCGGACGCUUAAGUCAGCGGUAAAAUUGCGGAGCCUCAACCUCGUCGAGCCGUUGAAACUGGGGUGCCUUGAGUGGGCGAGAAGUACGCGGAAUGCGUGGUGUAGCGGUGAAAUGCAUAGAUAUCACGCAGAACUCCGAUUGCGAAGGCAGCGUACCGGCGCCCAACUGACGCUGAAGCACGAAGGCGUGGGUAUCGAACAGGAUUAGAUACCCUGGUAGUCCACGCAGUAAACGAUGAAUGCUAGUUGUCCGGGGCGAUUGAGUUCUGGGUGACACAGCGAAAGCGUUAAGCAUUCCACCUGGGGAGUACGCCGGCAACGGUGAAACUCAAAGGAAUUGACGGGGGCCCGCACAAGCGGAGGAACAUGUGGUUUAAUUCGAUGAUACGCGAGGAACCUUACCCGGGCUCAAACGCAGGAGGGAUGUUUUUGAAAGGAGGCAGCCAGCAAUGGUCUCCUGCGAGGUGCUGCAUGGUUGUCGUCAGCUCGUGCCGUGAGGUGUCGGCUUAAGUGCCAUAACGAGCGCAACCCCUACCUACAGUUGCCAUCGCGUGAUGGCGGGCACUCUGUGGGGACUGCCUGCGCAAGCAGUGAGGAAGGCGGGGAUGACGUCAAAUCAGCACGGCCCUUACGUCCGGGGCGACACACGUGUUACAAUGGCGGGUACAGCGGGAAGCCACCCGGCGACGGGGCGCGGAACCCGAAAACCUGUCUCAGUUCGGAUUGGAGUCUGCAACCCGACUCCAUGAAGCUGGAUUCGCUAGUAAUCGCGCAUCAGCCACGGCGCGGUGAAUACGUUCCCGGGCCUUGCACACACCGCCCGUCA